rfam:Gossypium raimondii Chr04_contig_342, whole genome shotgun sequence.
AAACCAUGAUGAGGCAUUUUUGUAAUAAUUUGUUAGAUUAUUCUCAUGCCUUAUACAAGGACUCAUCAUCAAAUUGCUGAAAUGUGGUAAUUUCAUUUCUGAGUGA